rnacentral:lncRNA from 1 species
AGAAAAGACCACAGCUUCGUAUCUUUCCAAGUUCCAGAUUCUGUCUUAAGCCAAAGUCACCGCCUUCAUUCUCUUGCAUUGGUUCACUCCAAAAGGAGCAUGAUCACGAAGGUUCUUGAUUUCAUCACCGUUGUAACACAGACUAGGGUUUCCCCAAACACCAAGUCUUCUUCCCAUCCUCUCAUAGAACUUCUUAGAGAACUCCAGCUCUCCACUGAUGCUAUUUCCAUUUACAUAGAGCGCGUUUAGACAAGGCAUUUCGGUUUCCAUUUGAGGAAAGAGUUUGCCUCCGAGACUGUUGUUGCUUAGACCUAAGAACCUCAGUUUCUUGAGCUCCAAGAUUGACCAUGGAAUCUCUCCUUUUAACCUUGUGUUGGAGAGAUCUAAAAGCACCAAAUUCUUCAGAUUUCUCCACUUUAUUCCUGUUAAGUCCCCUUCGAGAUGGUUAUUGGACAAAACAAGUUCAACCAAUGAACUCAUCUCUUGGAUCUCUUUCGUCAGUCCACCUGAGAAUCUGUUGUUCCCAAGAUCAAAAAGCGUCAGAUUCUUUAAGGACUGUAGCUCUAUAGGUACCUUUCCUUCCAAGUAAUUGUUACUAACAUCCAGUUUCAGCAGUGAACUCAAUCCUCCAACGCUUAAAGGCAACGGUCCAGAGAAGAAAUUCCUGCUUAGAUCCAAUAUAAAGGUUCACCUAGGGGUGAACCCAAGAAUAAGUGUUCGUGGAAUGCUCAAAACUAAACAAUUCGAGUGUAACUUCUUAUUAAAAUAAACCCAUCAAAUUUGAUCAUUUUGUGUUUGUUUUUGUUAUUACACUACAUUUGAUCGCCUUCUUGUUUGGUGACGCUGCAGAAAAAACAAUAAACGAUUUUUUUCCAAUUGGGGUUUCUUUCUUUUAUUUAUACGUACACAUGUUAUGUCUGAUACUUACUACUGCUAGUAACAAAAAUAGAAAAAAAUGCACACAAGAUAUAUUGGCAAAGUUGAAUAAAAUGCAUGGUUGAAAAGACCACAGCUUCGUAUCUUUCCAAGUUCCAGAUUCUGUCUUAAGCCAAAGUCACCGCCUUCAUUCUCUUGCAUUGGUUCACUCCAAAAGGAGCAUGAUCACGAAGGUUCUUGAUUUCAUCACCGUUGUAACACAGACUAGGGUUUCCCCAAACACCAAGUCUUCUUCCCAUCCUCUCAUAGAACUUCUUAGAGAACUCCAGCUCUCCACUGAUGUUAUUUCCAUUUAC